GCAGUUUCCAGAUGUUCACGCAACACUCACAGAGAGUGAAGAAGCUCACUAGACUGAUGAGGCCAAGCAGAGGGUUCUGUCAUCGAGAGCCUGAUGCAUGACAGUUUAAUAGAGACCAGAAGUUGACUAUACAAACUGUCUUUCAGAAUAAAUUUACUCACCAAAUGAUUCUCUUCUAAUUCAUGUUCCGACCCCUUAUCAUGAACUAAAGUAAUAAACCUCACCAGAUGAAGUGCUAAGCAAAACAAAAUAAUGUGAUAAUUAUCAUGGAAUAAUGUGAUAAAUAUCUUGAUACAAUGUGAUACUGAUCCAAAAAUAGUCUUAGCAUCCAGGCAGCUCUGAGCGUCCGUUCAGCACAGCGUUUAAUAUGUUGGACAGAUUAUUUCAGGGCCAAACAUUUUUCUUAAAUGAAUGCCAUCCUCACUGUAACAUUUGUCACUGUGGUAUCAAUGAGAGUCCUGAAGUGCUCUCCUAAUGGAACCGUCAUUGUCCAUCUAUAUAUCAAAUACCAUGGUUUCCAGACUUGUGAGCACCUGAAUAUUAGCUGCAACCAAUGCGUAUAAGAAGAAAAUGAAUGAUGAAGAAAAUUUUGUACACACUUUUGAUAAAUAGGCUGCAGGUGCAGCGUGGGAAUCUAUGCCAUAAAGAGCUCAGUAUUUUCUGUGCGCCAGCUUAAAAAUGCUUUAGGAUACAUAGCAUCAUUCCGGUGUCCAACAAUGAGCCUGAUGAUGAAGACACACUCAGAGAUGUUCUGAAUGCAUGCCAUAAUGGCAGUAUAAUUCAACUCACCCCAUCAGAUCGAUGAAAUUACAGGCGUUUUAUUUACCUUAAUGUCCUGCUUUCGCUCGUGUUCCUGGCACAUUCCACCACCUUCCUGGAGCUCCGCCGCCACAGCAAGUCUCAGCUGGAACACAGGAGCAGUAGUGGAUUACAAACAGAAGAAAACAGCGCUUUGACCACGUAAUGUCAAUAAAAACAUAGUCACAGCACAGCGUUGUCUCACCACCUUCUGCACAGCUGCUCUACUGUUUGCCAUUACAGCGGAUCAGAUAUUGAUCCAUGCGGCGGCAGGAAGGCCGGCAGCCUGCAGGAGCUUUUCUUCUGGGGACUGAUUGUUAUGCAAGAAAUAGAAGGGCAGAAGAGCUUCUCUAUUCCUCUAGUUGGAUGAACCGAUGAGCCCUUGGGAAAUAUUUGGGUUCAAAAUCCAGGGCAGUUUAAUCACAGAUGGUUGCAACAUGGACACCAACAAGAAUAUCAUCACCAUUGACAACAGAAUCAUCUUCUUCCCUGACAAGAGCAAAGCAAAGGAAUGCUUCAGCGACUACUGGUGGACGUGCCCUGGCAACAUUUUGUGCAACAGUAGCAUCAACCUGCCCUCUGAUCUGGAAAGUGCACCCCAAAAGUGGAGCAAAAUAGCUGGUGAUACAAAAAAAUUUCAGAGCAAAGAGGCAGCAAUGAAAGAAUUCAACUCACAGACCGGAGACAGUCGUCUGAAGUCGUGUGAGAAGCCCAAACAAGCAGAGAAACUAUCCCGCAGGAGCAAAAGAAGGAGGUCGGUGUCCUUUGUCGACGACGUCAUGGUCUUCGUGUUCGAUCAGGAAUGUCCCACCAUGGAGCUCCAGGGUGAUUCCUGCACAAACUCUCCUCCUCCAUGCAGCUGGGCGGAAGAUUGUGGUCUGGAGUGGGAAGAUGACUUCUCCGCGCUGGAAAGGAGCAGUCGUCUUCAGCCAGUAUCCCAGCACCACAGCGUUUCACCAGCCACAAAGACCUGGACUCUUCUAUCAGAGCGUCUGUUCCUACCCCAAAACUGCCUCUGCCUCACCCACGUUAGCGAAGCUGACCUGGAGCUGUGAGCGGAGGGGUAAAUGACACAGACGUGGUGGAUUCAGUCUGACGCAGCAGUGGCCGACUUCUGCCUCACUGUGACGUCCACACUUGUUGUGCUUCCAGACGGACAGCCUUGGCCUCAUGGAAAAUCCAGCUGCGCCUCUAAUUCACCCCCUCCUCUUUUAUGAUGACUCAGAGAUUUAAGUGGAUGUUUUUCUCUCAAACCACCUGCUGCUUAUGACAUGGCAUCCAAGUCCCAUUCGUAUGACAUUACUGCUGACUGGAAUGUCAAUAAGAAAUCAAUUGCAAAAGAGCUCCGGGAACUUUCCAACUGCACUGAAAAAGCUCUUUGGAUUCUGAUGUAGACCAACAUGGGGGUGUCGAAAUAAAUGUAUGAUUACACAACAUUAAACCCUAAAUUCCAUAAACCAGGUUUAUUUCAUUAAAAAAAAACGUUCAAGUCAAGGACCCGGCAUGUUUGCUUCAUUGCUCAGGUCCUGAAUUUAUCAGGAGUUCUGCCUAAAUAAACAGCGACAGCCUGAGGGAAGACAGAACUGUACUAGCUAAAGCUAACAGAUAAAGUUUUCCACAGAGGCAUUGAACAAGAUACUCAGGACCUGUAUGGAGUUCAAAACUAUUUGUUUGUACUGUAAAACUAUUUACAGCUAAAACAGUUUAAACAUUGCUGCCAUAUUUGCAUGAAUUAAUAUAAAAUGUGUCACAUUAUCUCUUUUUUAAAAAUAACAUUUCUUAGAUUCUCACCGACAUGUGCAGAAUGCCAGCUGGUCUAAAACUAAAAAAAAAUAACAGACGAAGUUAAUGUGCUACCUGUCUCUAAGUACAUGGUGGAUAAAUUACUUUACUUCUUAGAUUUGCUUCAAACUAAAAUGCAUGAAUGUUUAUACAUCAUUUAUAUUGAAAAGAAAAUGACCGUCUCAGUAUUACCUGUAAUUCCGCACCAAUACAGAUCUUUCAGAUAAGACAUAUGGAGACCUUUUGUGCUAAACAAAAUGCCUUGUAUUGUCUGCCUGUUUUUUUUUUUUAAUUAUUAUUAUUUGAAGUUGGCAUCCGACAGGUUUGAAAUGUUCAUAGGGCUUACUGGACAGGGUUAUAUUGGUGCCUCCAUCAAAAAUUGGAUGAUGCCCACAGACUAAAGUGAGGUGUUUUCUCUCUGUCUCUCUCACACACACAUUUGUAUCUCUGUCCUUGCUCUCUGUCAUUGUCAUAACCCUUUCUAAACCCAACCAUCCAAAACAAAUGGAUCACCUUAACCAGGACUCUCAACCAAAGUAAAACCCAAUUAUAAUGAGCCAGUUGUUUUGAAAUGUUCAUCCUCAAAUUGAAGCUUUACCAUGUGGGGACAUGUAAAAAUAGACAGGCACACACAAAAAUGGUCGUUUUACUAUCUUAGUGAGGACUAUCAUUGCCAUAAUGCUUUCCCCAGCCUCCUCCUUAAACCUGGCCAUCCAAAACACUUGGCUCACCUUAACCAAGGCCUAAACCAAACUUAAACUCAAGUUAUUUUGAAGUUUUAAUCCACAAAGCUGAGGCUUUACCUCGUGGGGACCGACAAAGGUCCUCACAAAUAGCCAAAGGUCCCCACAAGGAGGUGUGUUUCAAAGUAUCGCUCCUCACAAGUGUAGCUGAAAAGAGGCACACACAAGACCCUGGAAGGCACCGUUACCGGUCCACAACAAGAAUCAUCUGGUCAGAAUGUAAAUAACUUGAAUGGUCAUGCCUUUUUACGUUGAGCCUGGAGGAAGAUAUUCAAAUGAGGACACUGAUAAGGACAUUAUGUCAACUGUAGAGAGGGGAAAGGCUAUAACAGCAGUGUUUAUUUUACAAAGUCUCCAUCUGAUCUCCACCCUAAGAUCAUGGUAAAGGAUUUCGAGGCAAUGGUGAAAUGCUGCUUGAUGAUUCAACACGAAGCCUCCCACCUCCUCUUUUAUCUCUUUCUUGAGGAAUAUUUCUUUCGUUUUUUGUUAAUAUUGUAUCUAAUGUCCAGAUUUGGAGGCUCUGACUCUCAUUUGUGCCACUGCUUCUAACUAAAAGUUACAGCCCCCUUCUCAGACCAGUGUCUUGAAACAUGUCAUAUAAAAACUGUGUUACUGUUUUGAAUGAUGCACUUUGAACUAGUUUCUAGUUCUAGUUUCUACUAGUUUCUGUUUGAGAAACAGUUCCUAAAAUAAGUUUUG